rnacentral:rRNA from 1 species
GACGAACGCUGGCGGCGUGCUUAACACAUGCAAGUCGAACGGAAAGGCCCUGCUUUUGUGGGUUUCUCGAUUGCCGAACGGGUGAGUAACACGUGAGUAACCUGCCCUUGUCUUUGGGAUAACUUCAGGAAACUGGGGCUCAUACCGGAUAGGAGCUCCUGCUGCAUGGUGGGGGUUGGAAAGUUUCGGCGGUUGGGGCUGGACUCGCGGCUUAUCCGCUUCUUGGUGGGGUAGUAGCUUACCAAGGCUUUGACGGGUAGCCGGCCUGAGAGGGUGACCGGCGACAAUGGGACUGAGAGACGGAGCAGAAUGCUACGGGAGGCAGCGGUGGGAAGUAUUGCGCAACGGGGGGAAGCCUGAGGCAGAAACGCCGCGUGCGGGAUGACGGCUUUCGGGUUGUAAACAGAUUUCGCCUGUGACGAAGAGUGAGUGACGGUAAUGGGUAAAGAAGCAACGGCUAACUACGUG